GACGUGUAGCGCCCAAGGCUCAGCAGCUACGGGACAGUUGUCAGGACGAGGUUAUUUUUGACGUGCAGUCCCGAAAGCAGAUUGGGAAGCAUGAAUAUAGCCGUUGAACUCAUCAUAAGUGAAAUUUAGGUUACUUCCGGUGUUUGCCACCUGUAUUGGUGCUCCGAUGUAACAUGACCAUUGGUAGUCAUGGUCAUGGCGCAAAGGAACGCCGAUUGUUGCAGCACAAAGUAGAAUAUAGCUCAUGAACAAAUAAGUACAUAGGCAAGGUUACCCGAGGCCGACAUUGAUCGACCUUGUCGACCAGGUCCGCCAAUGUAGUGGGUCCACGCCACAAUAUCCGAAAGUCGGCUGAAAUCAUUUAAACCCUUGUCAGGUUUACUGAACAAAAUUACGACCGACGAGGUUUCCGAGCCAUUGGCUGACAUAACCGCUCAUGUACGGCUUUGGCUAUUAUGGCUUCAAUGUCCUCUCCAUCAAACAAAUAUCUUCAUUACGAAAGACCAAAGCAUGUAGCCAUAACUCCCAACUCAGUCAAACACGAUAUGGGCCAAGUAUUGUUGCUAAUCGGAACCGCUUCAAGUGAGAAGGAAGCCGCUUCAAGUGAGAAGGAAUUCGGAAUAGCUUCAAUUGGGAUAAGGGAUUUGUGUUAUAUUUUACUAUGCCUUGUAGCAACGUUAAAAUAGAACUCACCGCCACUCACUGUCGCUGAACUAACUUUAGUUACUCUUGGCUGACAUCCAGCCGGGAAUGGAGGCGGGUGGCCACCGUGAGGAGGAAUUGGGCUCGCUUGGAGAGGUGAUAUGGGCGGGAGGCGCGGGGCUCUUAUGUGUUUUAUGUGGGNNNNNNNNNNNNNNNNNNNNNNNNNNNNNNNNNNNNNNNNNNNNNNNNNNAGGCGUGUCCCCACCUGCCUCACAGCCGCCUACGCAUCUCACGGCGGGGGUCUAAUUGCGUGCGCGUAUGGAUGCUCCUUUCCCCGCCGCCUUUCUAACAACUAGAAAUGUUAUGAUGCAUCGUUGGUCCGGCGUACGACGGCGCCUGAUGCGAUUUAUGCGUCCGGAAGCCCUUUCAGCCUCCAGGCGUGUCCCCACCUGCCUCACAGCCGCCUACGCAUCGCACGGCGGGGGUCUAAUUGCGUGCGCGUAUGGAUGCUCCUUUCCCCGCCGCCUUUCUAACAACUAGAAAUGUUAUGAUGCAUCGUUGGUCCGGCGUACGACGGCGCCUGGUGCGAUUUAUGCGUCCGGAAGCCCUUUCAGCCUCCAGGCGUGUCCCCACCUGCCUCACAGCCACCGACGCAUCUCACGGCGGGGGUCUAAUUGCGUGCGCGUAAGGAUGCUCCUAUUCCCCGCCGCCUUUCUAACAACUAGAAAUGUUAUGAUGCAUCGUUGGUCCGGCGUACGACGGCGCCUGGUGCGAUUUAUGCGUCCGGAAGCCCUUUCAGCCUCCAGGCGUGUCCCCACCUGCCUCACAGCCACCGACGCAUCUCACGGCGGGGGUCUAAUUGCGUGCGCGUAAGGAUGCUCCUAUUCCUGCCGCCUUUCUAGCAACUAGUUACUGUUAUGAUGCAUCGUUGGUCCGGCGUACGACGGCGCCUGGUGCGAUUUAUGCGUCCGGAAGCCCUUUCAGCCUCAUAGGCAUGUCCCCACCUGCCUCACAGCCGCCGACGCAUCUCACGGCGGGGGUCUAAUUGCGUGCGCGGUCGCAUGCGGCAUGUCCCGCCACCUUUCUGGCAUCUAGUUGAUGGUAUGAUGAAUCGUUGUGCGGUGUAGGGCUGCGCCUGAUGCGAUUUCGUUUGCGGAAGGGCCCCCUGAGUGCUGCCAAACAUGUUAUUCUCUCAUGAGACUGCGUGAAGGUUUACGAACUGAGUAUGCGACCAACACAUAAAACAUCGCAUGCGAAAUGUUAUGUCAUGCGAUUCAUCAAAGGUAAAUCGUGUGUGCUUGUUGUGUGUUAGCUUAGGCCGCAGUAAGCUUGACGCAACGAGCCUUCAUACGCUUGAAACGCAACAUUUGUUUGCAUGCGAAUUGCGUUGCGAUAUGUGUGCGUUUGGUAAGUGUUAGGCUGCGUUAAGCUUUACGCAAUGAGCCUUUAUACGCAUGAAACGCAGCAUGUAUUAGCUUGCGAAAUGCGUGGCGACAUGUGUGCGUUUGGCGAGUGUUAGGCCGCGUUAAGCUUUACGCUAUGAGCCUUUAUACGCAUGAAACGCAGCAUGUAUUAGAUGCGAAAUGCGUUGUGAAAUGUGUGCGUAAGGUGAGUGUUAGGCCGCGUUAAGCUUUACGCAAUCAGCCUUCAUACGCAUGAUACGCAACAUGCAUUCGCGUGCAAAUAGCCUUGCGGACUGUGUGCGUUUGAUGUGCGAGUGGACGCGAAUUGCUUUACGCAUUGUCUCCCCACACGCACGAAUCGCAAUAUGGAAUCGCAUGCGUAUCGCCUUGCUACACAUGCGCGUAUGCUUCGCGUUUCAACAUACGCACGGAUAAAUUGUUCAAGUCGACCAAAACGACGCAAGUUUAUUUCCAAAUAAACCUUUACAAUCUGAAAAUUAUAAAUUUUUAAAAAACUUGGCCAGAAGGGCCGAUUUCCGCUUUUCCAUAGCCGUUGUGCGUUAGCUCUUUGCGUUGCAAAAGCAUGCUCAUUCGCACCUAACGCUAAGAUUCGCACCGUUACGCGAACUAACGCGAGCUAACGCGGACUUAACGCGAUCACCCGUCGUCAUAGUGGUUCUUAGAACGUUCUUAGAACAGUGUAAGAACGUUCUAAUGAUUAUUCAAUUUUAUCAAUUUGGCUGGGCUAAGAACGACUUAAGAACGUUCUUAACCCCCCUCCGCGUUCGUAGGGAUGGGUGCGAUGAACAGUGGUGCCACCAAAGCAGCAGCAGGUACGCGGGGUAUGGGUUAUGACAUGAUGUAUUAUGACAUGUCAUUGUGGAUGUAUCCAUGGCACAUGUCAUGCAGUUGCUUGUAGGUUCCUGAACAUUGCAGGGCACGAGUAUCAUGCAUUUUGGGCCGUACAUAUGCUCACAUCUUGAUGUUCUGCUAGCAGGUCUCAGCUCAGAUGGCCAUGGCUGCACCGGAGGCGGCUGUGAUUGCUGGCAAAACAAUUAUGGGGCCAGCUGGUUGUGAGCCAGAAGGUGACUACCUGGAGGACCUGAUUGGCGAGAGACUUGACGAUGUCAUCGCAGAGUAUGGGGACACCAUGGCGACGGGUGGCACUGGUGGUGGUGCAUAUGGGAUGCCUGACCAUGAAACUACGUGGUGCACUGCCAUCACUGCUCACCAGAUGCGGGCUGAGCUUGCUGCAGUGAAACAAGCUGCCAGGGCAGGUUCAGUGAAAGAAGCAGCCAAGCUGGGCAAAGGUGGCCACCAUGGCCAUGGCCAGCAGGGGCCAGCAAGGAAGAGACUGCCCUAUGGCAGUCCGGAGACGUGUAACUCGUCAGGCUCAGUAGCUACGGGGCAGUUGUCUGGACAGGUUACUCGCCAGCUAGAAGCUUGGUAAAUGUGCAACCUUGAAAGUGUCAUAGUUAUGCACAGAUAUGCGCGCUGAGUGUGUGAAAUGUUAUGACGAGGUUAGUUAAAAUGUUUGCCAUCCAAUUUGAGUGUGGGGAGGCAUUAUUUGUCCUGACGAUUUGCUCUCUACCUACGGCCAUUUGGCAGUCCAUAGACGUGUAGCGCCCAAGGCUCAGCAGCUACGGGACAGUUGUCAGGACGAGGUUAUUUUUGACGUGCAGUCCCGAAAGCAGAUUGGGAAGCAUGAAUAUAGCCGUUGAACUCAUCAUAAGUGAAAUUUAGGUUACUUCCGGUGUUUGCCACCUGUAUUGGUGCUCCGAUGUAACAUGACCAUUGGUAGUCAUGGUCAUGGCGCAAAGGAACGCCGAUUGUUGCAG
rnacentral:lncRNA from 1 species